CGAGGUAGAACUUAUUAGUAAAGUAUUUCACUUACACUGAAAAUUGUUCUGUGCAAUUCAGGAUACUUCGA
rnacentral:tRNA from 1 species